rnacentral:rRNA from 1 species
AUUGAACGCUGGCGGCAUGCCUAACACAUGCAAGUCGAGCGGAGCGGCGGACGGGUGAGUAAUGCCUAGGAAUCUGCCUGGUAGUGGGGGAUAACUUCCAGAAACGGGCGCUAAUACCGCAUACUCUCAGAUGAGCCUGGGUCGGAUUAGCUAGUUGGUGGGGUAAAGGCCUAACAAGGCGACGAUCCGUAACUGGUCUUAGAGGAUGAUCAGUCACACUGGAACUGAGACACGGUCCAGACGCCUACGGGAGGCAGCAGUGGGGAAUAUUGGACAAUGGGCGAAAGCCUGAUCCAGCCAUGCCGCGUGUGUGAAGAAGGUCUUCGGAUUGUAAAGCACUUUAAGUUGGGAGGCGGUACCAACAGAAUAAGCACCGGCUAACUUCGUGCCAGCCGCCGCGGUAAUUC